GAUGAACGCUGGCGGCGUGCUUAACACAUGCAAGUCGAACGAAGCACUUUGAUCGAUUUCUUCGGAUUGAAAUUUUAGUGACUGAGUGGCGGACGGGUGAGUAACGCGUGGGUAACCUGCCUCACACAGGGGGAUAACAGUUGGAAACGGCUGCUAAUACCGCAUAAGCGCACAGUACCGCAUGGUACAGUGUGAAAAACUCCGGUGGUGUGAGAUGGACCCGCGUCUGAUUAGCUAGUUGGCAGGGCAACGGCCUACCAAGGCGACGAUCAGUAGCCGACCUGAGAGGGUGACCGGCCACAUUGGGACUGAGACACGGCCCAAACUCCUACGGGAGGCAGCAGUGGGGAAUAUUGCACAAUGGGGGAAACCCUGAUGCAGCGACGCCGCGUGAGCGAAGAAGUAUUUCGGUAUGUAAAGUUCUAUCAGCAGGGAAGAAGAAAUGACGGUACCUGACUAAGAAGCACCGGCUAAAUA
rnacentral:rRNA from 1 species